rnacentral:rRNA from 1 species
AGGACGAACGCUGGCGGCGUGCCUAACACAUGCAAGUCGAGCGAGGAGAUUCCUUCGGGAUGAUCCUAGCGGCGACGGGUGAGUAACACGUGGGCAACCUGCCUCAUAGAGAGGAAUAGCCUUCCGAAAGGGAGAUUAAUACCUCAUAACAUUGCAGUUUCGCAUGGAACAGCAAUUAAAGGAGUAAUCCGCUAUGAGAUGGGCCCGCGGCGCAUUAGCUAGUUGGUGAGGUAACGGCUCACCAAGGCGACGAUGCGUAGCCGACCUGAGAGGGUGAUCGGCCACAUUGGGACUGAGACACGGCCCAGACUCCUACGGGAGGCAGCAGUGGGGAAUAUUGCACAAUGGGGGAAACCCUGAUGCCAGCAACGCCGCGUGAGUGAUGACGGCCUUCGGGUUGUAAAGCUCUGUCUUCAGGGACGAUAAUGACGGUACCUGAGGAGGAAGCCACGGCUAACUACGUGCCAGCCGCCGC